rnacentral:rRNA from 1 species
GACGAACGCUGGCGGCGUGCCUAAUACAUGCAAGUAGAACGCACAGUUUAUACCGUAGCUUGCUACACCAUAGACUGUGAGUUGCGAACGGGUGAGUAACGCGUAGGUAACCUGCCUGGUAGCGGGGGAUAACUAUUGGAAACGAUAGCUAAUACCGCAUAAUAUUGAUUAUUGCAUGAUAAUUAAUUGAAAGGUGCAAUUGCACCACUACCAGAUGGACCUGCGUUGUAUUAGCUAGUAGGUGAGGUAACGGCUCACCUAGGCGACGAUACAUAGCCGACCUGAGAGGGUGAUCGGCCACACUGGGACUGAGACACGGCCCAGACUCCUACGGGAGGAAGCAGUAGGGAAUCUUCGGCAAUGGACGAAAGUCUGACCGAGCAACGCCGCGUGAGUGAAGAAGGUUUUCGGAUCGUAAAGCUCUGUUGUAAGAGAAGAACGGGUGUGAGAGUGGAAAGUUCACACUGUGACGGUAUCUUACCAGAAAGGGACGGCUAACUACGUG